CUACGGGAUGCUCCAGUGAGGAAUAUUGCACAAUGGGGGGAACCCUGAUGCAGCAACGCCGCGUGGAGGAUGACGCAUUUCGGUGUGUAAACUCCUUUUAUAUGUCAAGAAAAUGACGGUAGCAUAUGAAUAAGCACCGGCUAACUCCGUGCCAGCAGCCGCGGUAAUACGGAGGGCGCAAGCGUUACUCGGAAUCACUGGGCGUAAAGGACGCGUAGGCGGGUUGGAAAGUCAGGUGUGGAAUCCUACAGCUUAACUGUAGGACUGCACUUGAAACUUCUAAUCUAGAGUAUGGGAGGGGGAGAUGGAAUUAGUGGUGUAGGGGUAAAAUCCGUAGAUAUCACUAGGAAUACCUAAAGCGAAGGCGAUCUCCUGGAACAUUACUGACGCUAAGGCGUGAAAGCGUGGGGAGCAAACAGGAUUAGAUACCCCGGUAGUC
rnacentral:rRNA from 1 species